GGCAUUAUGGUUGCAUUGCAGUUUAACCAGGGGCCACGUGACGGCAGAGAUUUCUCCAUAAAGCCUCAAGCUGCAGCUCCAAGUGUUGAAGGGAGAAUCUUUGCUUUUAUUUCUUGUUAUUAUAAAGGAUGUUUCUAUCCUUUCUGCCUAUGGAAGAAACGUGGACAGCACGAGCAAAGCAAAACAAACCAAUGAACCCAAGCCUGUCACUGAGAGCUCCUUUCACUGGCAAUGAAGAGAAACAGGCACCUUCAGAGGGAGACUCAUCUCAGACAGCCACUUACCAAGCAUCCAGAAUAUGCAACUACUUGUUGGACUUUCCUCCUGCUUGCACAAAAUGUGUCUAACUGGGGAAGGAUCACUUGCACCUAGGAAAAAACUCAGUAUCUGU